GAGGCUGUUGAGUCCCCAUGGGGGGUGUUCAAGGACAGGGUAGACAUGCACAUGGUGGGCAUGUCGUGAGCGAAACCGGCUGGAGCCAGGGGUCAGACUAGAUGGCCCAGGAGACCCCUUCAUGCUCGCUCAGUUUCUAUCUCAGCUUAC